rnacentral:rRNA from 2 species
UGGGGAAUAUUGCACAAUGGGCGAAAGCCUGAUGCAGCAACGCCGCGUGAGCGAUGAAGGCCUUCGGGUCGUAAAGCUCUGUCCUCAAGGAAGAUAAUGACGGUACUUGAGGAGGAAGCCCCGGCUAACUACGUGCCAGCAGCCGCGGUAAUACGUAGGGGGCUAGCGUUAUCCGGAAUUACUGGGCGUAAAGGGUGCGUAGGUGGUUUCUUAAGUCAGAGGUGAAAGGCUACGGCUCAACCGUAGUAAGCCUUUGAAACUGGGAAACUUGAGUGCAGGAGAGGAGAGUGGAAUUCCUAGUGUAGCGGUGAAAUGCGUAGAUAUUAGGAGGAACACCAGUUGCGAAGGCGGCUCUCUGGACUGUAACUGACACUGAGGCACGAAAGCGUGGGGAGCAAACAG